rnacentral:rRNA from 1 species
AGUGAACGCUGGCGGUAGGCCUAACACAUGCAAGUCGAACGGCAGCACAGUAAGAGCUCGCUCUUACGGGUGGCGAGUGGCGGACGGGUGAGGAAUACAUCGGAAUCUACUUUUUCGUGGGGGAUAACGUAGGGAAACUUACGCUAAUACCGCAUACGACCUACGGGUGAAAGCAGGGGAUCUUCGGACCUUGCGCGAUUGAAUGAGCCGAUGUCGGAUUAGCUAGUUGGCGGGGUAAAGGCCCACCAAGGCGACGAUCCGUAGCUGGUCUGAGAGGAUGAUCAGCCACACUGGAACUGAGACACGGUCCAGACUCCUACGGGAGGCAGCAGUGGGGAAUAUUGGACAAUGGGCGCAAGCCUGAUCCAGCCAUACCGCGUGGGUGAAGAAGGCCUUCGGGUUGGAAAGCCCUUUUGUUGGGAAAGAAAAGCAGCAGGUUAAUACCCCGCUGUUCUGACGGUACCCAAAGAAUAAGCACCGGCUAACUUCGUG